AAUGGGCGAAAGCCUGACGGAGCAACGCCGCGUGAGGGAUGAAGGCCUCUGGGCUGUAAACCUCUUUUAUCAAGGAAGAAGAUCUGACGGUACUUGAUGAAUAAGCCACGGCUAAUUCCGUGCCAGCAGCCGCGGUAAUACGGGAGUGGCAAGCGUUAUCCGGAAUUAUUGGGCGUAAAGCGUCCGCAGGCGGCCCUUCAAGUCUGCUGUUAAAAAGUGGAGCUUAACUCCAUCAUGGCAGUGGAAACUGUUGGGCUUGAGUGUGGUAGGGGCAGAGGGAAUUCCCGGUGUAGCGGUGAAAUGCGUAGAUAUCAGGAAGAACACCAGUGGCGAAGGCGCUCUGCUGGGCCAUCACUGACGCUCAUGGACGAAAGCCAGGGGAGCGAAAGGGAUU
rnacentral:rRNA from 1 species